AACGAACGCUGGCGGCGUGCUUAACACAUGCAAGUUGAACGAGAGGCAGUAGCAAUACUGUAGUAAAGUAGCAGACGGGUGAGUAACACGUGGGAAACUUCCUUUUAGUAAAGAAUAGCCCAGGGAAACUUGGAUUAAUACUUUAUACGCCCUACGGGGAAAGAUUUAUCGCUAAAAGAUGUGCCCGCGUUAGAUUAGGUAGUUGGUGGGGUAAUGGCCUACCAAGCCUACGAUCUAUAGCUGGUCUGAGAGGAUGAUCAGCCACACUGGGACUGAGACACGGCCCAGACUCCUACGGGAGGCAGCAGUGGGGAAUAUUGGACAAUGGGCGCAAGCCUGAUCCAGCAACGCCGCGUGAAUGAUGAAGGCCUUCGGGUCGUAAAGUUCUUUGUAAGGGAAGAAAAUAGACGGUACCUUAAGAAUAAGCUACCGGCUAACUUCG
rnacentral:rRNA from 1 species